rnacentral:rRNA from 1 species
UUCCGGUUGAUCCUGCCGGACCUUACUGCUAUCGGGGUGGGACUAAGACAUGCGAGUCGAGCGUCUCUAGCUAUGUUGAGACGCGGCAGACGGCUCAGUAACACGUGGCUAACCUACCCUCAGGACGAGGAUAAACCCGGGAAACUGGGGCUAAUACUCGAUAGGUGAGAAUGUCUGGAAUGAUUUCUCAUUCAAAGGGCUUUAGAAACAUGCUUCUAAAGUCGCCUGGGGAUGGGGCCGCGUCCGAUCAGGUUGUUGGUGAGGUAACGGCUCACCAAGCCUAUAACCGGUACGGGCCGUGAGAGCGGUAGCCCGGAGAUGGGUACUGAGACAAGGACCCAGGCCCUACGGGGCGCAGCAGUCGCGAAAACUCCGCAAUGCACGAAAGUGUGACGGGGCUACCCCGAGUGCCAUCCGCUGAGGAUGGCUUUUCUUUGGUGUAACUAGCCGGGGGAAUAAGGAGAGGGCAAGACUGGUGUCAGCCGCCGCGGUAAUACCAGCUCUCCGAGUGGUAGGGAUGAUUAUUGGGCUUAAAGCGUCCGUAGCCGGCUUAGCAAGUCUCCUGUUAAAUUCAGCGACCUAAUCGUUGAGCCGCGGGAGAUACUACUAGGCUAGGAGGCGGGAGAGGUCGACGGUACUUCUGGGGUAGGGGUGAAAUCCUAUAAUCCCGGGAGGACCACCAGUGGCGAAGGCUGUUGACUAGAACGCGCUCGACGGUGAGGGACGAAAGCUGGGGGAGCGAACCGGAUUAGAUACCCGGGUAGUCCCAGCCGUAAACGAUGCGGGCUAGGUGUUGGGGUGGCUACGUGCCACUUCAGUGCCGCAGGAAAGCCAUUAAGCCCGCCGCCUGGGGAGUACGGCCGCAAGGCUGAACUUAAAGGAAUUGGCGGGGAGCACCACAAGCGUGAAGCUUGCGUCAUGACUCAACGCGU